UGGCAGCAUAGCCCUCUCCUUGGUUACCAAGUUCAUGUAUCAAAUCAAGUGGAUGAUCUCACCACCACCCCGGAAGACUUCAUGUUUCACUCAGAACUGUUCACAUGUCCAGUUCUUCGGUCUCUAAACUGCUCGAUCUAGUGUAGUGCCAACUUGUUGGCUAUAAGAAAAGCUUUCAGUAUCACUAUAGCUGUUCUAUUUUGCUGGGGUUGUCUCGAACCAUGUGCUGUAAGACAACAAUAACUUUCUCGAAGCCCUUUCAGAAGCUUAUAAUAAACCUGAAAAGUUCCCAUGGCACAGUAAGACAUUCGAAUCCUUGAGACCUACAUGGAUGAGUAAGUGGAGAUUUGGAGGUCUCAGAGGUGAAGCAAACACAGUGCAGAAUCACUAAUGUGGUGGGAGCAGAACGUGCAAUGCUACAGCUAAUUAUGAAGAGUAAGAAAUGGCAGCAAAGUCCUCUCCUUGGUUACCAAGUUCAUAUAUCAAAUCAACUGGAUGAUCUCACCUUCACACUGGCAGACUUCUUGUUUCACCCAGAAGGUUUCUCUUACUAUUGGCAUCAGAACUGUGUACAUGUCCAGUUCUUCGGUCUCUUAACUGUAAGCAUAUGAACAAUGUUUCCCAAUAUCUGUUGUGCUCAAAAGGCAUCUUAUGCAAGUCCUACAAUUUUGCCGCUUACAAACUAAUUGAGAUUGUUACUUUUAUGAAUGGAGAUAAAUAUGACAAGCUACAGAACUUAAUUUUAAAAGGGGCUCCUGCAGGCUCAUUGCUGAUGUUUUUUCCAGAUAGUCUUGAUCAUGAUUGCAAGGUUCAACAGUUAAAUUCUAGCUUUCAAGGUAGAGGCAAAACCGGCUUCCAUCUAUGCUGUUGAAAUAAAAAUAGUGCA